rnacentral:rRNA from 1 species
UUAUCCAGAUCGUAAAAACUAUUUAUUUACCCUUGGGCCGAGGUGGCUCUACUCAUGGACGAGUCGACGAGGACGCCUCCACCACCCACUACAUAAACUCAUGAAUAGUCUAGGUUAACUAUCGCAGACUCCCGCAGAGGCUGUCCACCCUGGGUUUUGUCCACUGCACCGCAUUGCCGGUCCGCCUGCUGCGGCAAUGAGUGAUGGACCAGUUUGGCUGCGCCAGCCGAGCGUAGCUUGUCCGUCUGGUCGAGCUGGGGUGUGAGAGAGAAGAGAGACCGCUGGCGCUCGAGAAGAGAGCACAUACGAGACGAGCGGCCGUGGGCCGCCGGUACCACAGUACCUUGCUGCCGCUAUCGUCGCUCAGCCACCGCUGCGUCAUGUAGAGGAGGUCACCGAGGGGACACUUCUAGGGUCGAUGGUAUCUACUGGGCAUGGUGAAACCACUGCUACUACUCCACUACACGCUCGUACCGUUUGGUCCCUUCUUCAUACAACGUAAGCUUCCCUAAUCGUGACCCUCCUCCAAGUAACGAACACCGUAACAUCAAUAAGUACAUACAUGCCCUACCGAGGCAUGAACCAGAUAGGACGUCUCCGGCCUCCUGUCCCUGGAAAAAUACUACCGCAGAUGCGCCGACCUCGCAUGCCGGUCCCUCCAAGAGAGGGGGGUACCUACCGCCACACUAGAGGCCUAUCCUAGACGGUGUAGUAUCCGACCUGAAUAAAUAGAAAAUUCAACAUUUGGCAAAAAUAAAAAACCCAGCCAACCUGAAGAACCGACACACGUAGCUCAAUACGUCUCCGGCCCGUAAGAAAUCUACGCUAACAUAGUGGAGCUAUAUAGUUAAGUUGCUUUACAGGAAAUAGCUUUUUUCUAGUAGACGUCUUACCAGAAGUGUUUG